rnacentral:rRNA from 1 species
AGAGUUUGAUCCUGGCUCAGGACGAACGCUGGCGGCGUGCCUAACACAUGCAAGUCGAACGAGUUCAUUGGAUUGAGGCUUCGGCCAAAUGAAUUUGAACUUAGUGGCGAACGGGUGAGUACGCGUGAGCAACCUGCCUUUCAGAGGGGGACAACAGUUGGAAACGACUGCUAAUACCGCUAACGCAUCGAGGAGGCAUCUCCUUGAUGUCAAAGAUUUAUCGCUGAAAGAUGGGCUCGCUCUGAUUAGAUAGUUGGUGAGGUAACGGCUCACCAAGUCGACGAUCAGUAGCCGGACUGAAGGUUGAACGGCCACAUUGGGACUGAGAUACGGCCCAGACUCCUACGGGAGGCAGCAGUGGGAAUAUUGGGCAAUGGGGGAAACCCUGACCCAGCAACGCCGCGUGAAGGAAGAAGGCUUCGGGUUGUAAACUUCUUUUACCAGGGACGAAGACGUGACGGUACCUGGAGAAAAAGCCACGCUAACUACGUGCCAGCAGCCGCGGUAAUACGUAGGUGGCAAGCGUUGUCCGGAUUUACUGGUGUAAAGGGCGUGUACGCGGAGAUGCAAGUCAGAUGUGAAAUCUCGGGGCUCAACCCCAACUGCAUUUUGAAACUGUAUCCCUUGAGUAUCGGAGAGGCAGGCGGAAUUCC